CCUACGGGAGGCCGCAGUGGGGAAUAUUGGACACUGGGGGAAACCCUUAUCCAGCGACGCCGCGUGCGGGACGAAUGUUUUCGGAUUGUAACCCUCUGUCAGUGGUGACGAUAAUGACGGUACCCACGGAGGCAGCCACGGCUAACUACGUGCCAGCAGCCGCGGUAAUACGUAGGUGGCAAGCGUUGUCCGGACUUACUGGAUGUAAAGGGAGCGGAGGCGGGUUGCCAAUUCAGAAGGGAAAAUUCUGGGCUCAACUCAUAACCUGUGUUUGAAACUGAUAGUCUUGAGUGAAGUAGAGGCAAGCGGAAUUCCUAGUGGAGCGGUGAAAUGCUUAGAUAUCACGAAGAACCCCGAUUGAGAAGGCAGCUUACGAAACUGUGACUGACAUUGAGGCUCGAAAGUGGGGGUAUCAAACAGGAUUAGAUACCCGGGUAGUC
rnacentral:rRNA from 1 species